rnacentral:rRNA from 1 species
CCUUUGACGUUAGCGGCGGACGGGUGAGUAACACGUGGGUAACCUACCUAUAAGACUGGGAUAACUUCGGGAAACCGGAGCUAAUACCGGAUAAUAUUUCGAACCGCAUGGUUCGAUAGUGAAAGAUGGUUUUGCUAUCACUUAUAGAUGGACCUGCGCCGUAUUAGCUAGUUGGUAAGGUAACGGCUUACCAAGGCGACGAUACGUAGCCGACCUGAGAGGGUGAUCGGCCACACUGGAACCGAGACACGGUCCAGACUCCUACGGGAGGCAGCAGAC